GGUUGUCACUGCUAAAAAUGUAUCCUUUUAAUUUGAUUCAGGCACAAGCAGCAUCUGAAGAAUACAGAGAACUUCACUUAGAAGUCACAUGGAACUCAGAAUGAAAGAUCUUGAAUCUGAAGUCUCCAACAGGAAAACUUCUUGAGAAGUCUUUCAUUAUAUUGAAUUGGGAAAAUACAAGCACCUCUAUCAAUUAGAAUUGGAAGCUAGAAAAUACUUGUCAAACAAAAUUAAAAAUCUUCACAGAACUACUGAGAGACUAGCAGCAUUCAGUAGCAAUCUUUUUGUGGAGACAGGAGACCAGAACUUUCUUUACCACUCAUGGACAGUCCUAUAGUCACCUCCUGGUGGCAAUCUUAAUAAUGGUUUAGGUCUUCACAGAGAAUUUACUUCAAAAGAAUACUCAACGUUCUCUUUUUCCUGCCCAUGGACUUCACAUACCGGCAUGAAGAACAACUUGAGUGAGAUGCUGCUGGAUAUUCUCCUGUGGAAGAGCUUCUUCUCUAGAUUCACUGAUGAGUCAAAUCUAAAUGAAGACAUUCUUUAGAAAGCAUCAUGGAAAUAUGUGCCAAUUUUUUUUUAAAAAAAAUAUACAAUGUGAAAGACUUUUAAGUAGGUCUUGCAAAUGAAAGCCAGUUUUACAUCCUCAGACUGCCAAAAUGUUAGCUGUUUAUAAUUUUAAUUUUAAGCACUGAUUUAUAUGACUCUUUCUUCUUGGAGAAAUAAAAUUUGCCUAAGGCU